rnacentral:rRNA from 1 species
CAGCCGCCGCGGUAAAACGUAGGUGGCAAGCGUUGUCCGGAAUUAUUGGGCGUAAAGGGCUCGCAGGCGGUUUCUUAAGUCUGAUGUGAAAGCCCCCGGCUCAACCGGGGAGGGUCAUUGGAAACUGGGAAACUUGAGUGCAGAAGAGGAGAGUGGAAUUCCACGUGUAGCGGUGAAAUGCGUAGAGAUGUGGAGGAACACCAGUGGCGAAGGCGACUCUCUGGUCUGGAACUGACGCUGAGGAGCGAAAGCGUGGGGAGCGAACAGGAUUAGAUACCCCGUAGUCCCUGUCUCUUAUACA